UUUCUUCAACCCUAGAUCAGAUUUCAUUCAUCAUUCAGCCCGCUCACUCAUGUCGUUUAUUCUCUCUGCGAAAAUGUAGAACCGCCAUCGGUUACGUCCCUAAUCGGACUCGAACGCCAAAUAAUCGCCUUUUUCAGCCUAAUUGGACUCCAGCCGUCGUCCGCCGCUGGCCGCCGUCGUUGUUAUACAUUUGCAGUUGCCGCUUAGCGGCUCCAUCUUUAUAGGUGAAAUACGGAACUUUUGUUUUGGAGAUCAAAGGCUCAGUACCAUUUUUUUGCACUUGGAAGAAGAGCCAAAUGGUUGCGAAGGGGCCUGGAUGUGGUAUUAUAUUGAUGAAUCUGCUUACAUUGAUGUUCAUGAAGUAAUUGUGCCCCAAAUGAUACAAAAAAUUGUUUGUUAAUAUCUUACAAGUAGCUUAGAAGGCUGAAUUGAUUGCUGGAUUUCUAUAAAAGGUUGCUCUAAAGAGUGGCUUGCAGGAUAAUAAAUUAAAGGAGAUAGUUAUGAUAAUAUGGAUCAUUACUAAAGCAUCAUUUUAUCUGAUUAAUGUGUGAGAUUAAGUUAUUGUUUUAAUAGAUAAAAUAAAUAAAUU